rnacentral:lncRNA from 1 species
GCUCGGGCUCGGCGCGGACCCGCCCGGGCGCACUCCUUCCGCUGGCGUCCGGCGUCCUGCCGCCCUGCGCGGAGCCGGCCAGCGGUCUCCGCCACCCCUGAGGGCGCUCCCGGCCCCCAGCGCGGAGGCUCGCGGGCGGAGGUCGCAACGAGAGGCUGGACCGCGGUGGCGCGCGGCUCGCCUUCCCGCAGGUGUUCCUUUGAUACAGCGGAAGGUGCCUCUGCUCUUCUGCCUGAGAGUGGUUCAAAAUAAUCAUUCAGCUUUCUUGCCCAUGACUGGAUUCCACCCUGCGGCAGUGGCUGGCUCCGGGCGGCAGUGUUCCUUUUGUGAAAGCCUGUCUUGAAGGUGGUUCUCCUCCCUGGUCCCGCCAUAGUCAACGCUGCUGCUCAUUCAUAGUGCUGCAUUCUCGAGUCUUUCAUGCCAGAGGACCAGAGGCCAGGAAAACUGGAGGAACUUAUAAG